CCAAUAAUCAAGAUUGAAUUUUCAUUCUUUCAUAUUUAAGAGAUCCAAUCUCCACCUCACAUUCUUAUUUCUCCAAAAAACUUGUCCACCGCACCUCACCCUUUUCCUCUUCUCUGUCUCACCACCUGCGAGCACCACUGCUCUGCCAUCUCCAGCGAGGCUACCAUGGCAAUCGCCACCAUAUUCUCCUCUUCUCCUCUCUCCUGUGUGCUAGUGGCCGACGAAACCAGCCACCAAAUGCCACCCUCUCUUUCUCACAGAGCCAUCUCAGAUGAAGCUAACACCAACUCAAACCCCGAUCCUCUCUUCUCUCUUUCUCUACUCUGAUGAAACCACCAUGUGAAGGCACCAGUGAGACAUCCUUGCAACCAUUCGACCUAUCGCCCCACUCUUCUCUUUUCUCCGACGAAGGCACCAAAAACUACUAAAGUAGCAAGAGCAUUGAAUAUCCAUUUCGAAGAACAUGUAUGGGACUAGUGAGUCGGUGGCCAGCGAACCCCGCUCUUCAUUUUUCUCCGUCGGAGUGAUGGAGACAACAACAUAAGAAACCACUCCAACAAGCUGCUGUGAUGACGGUAACAAACACUAUUUGAAACGGAUUUGGUCGAUAAGAAGUUUUAAAAUUUUGACAUGCUUAAAAUGAAUCUUAAUAAAUCAGCUUUAGUUAGUUCUUUUGUUCGAUUUUGAUAUACUUCGAUAAUGGAAUAUACGAUCUAAGCAUGAACUGGUAUUCUAAAAAUAAUGUUGGGUUUUAAAAGGUGUGAAUGGAAAAUAAAGAGUUACACCUUUUAUAACGAGUCGCGACUUUUAUGAAAAGUUGCGACUUUUAUGAAGAGUUAUGACUUUUAUGAAAAGUUGCUAUUUUAAUGAAAAAUUGUGAUUUUUAUGAAAAGUUAUGACUUUUAUGAAAGGUUGUGACAUUUUUGAAAUAUUGACUCUUCCAAAGUUUUGUGACCUUUUCGGUAAGACAUAGUAAAAAUCUUUCCACACUACCUUUUGUUUUUUUAAUAGAUGGAGGGUUUUCCUCUCAUUUUAGUUGAAAUUUUUUUUGGACUUCUUCUACUACUAAAUCUAGUAUUAUAAAUGUACUUUAUUGUCGUUGAGUGGUUUGCUGACACCGUGGUUUUUGUAUCGAUACACCAAUGAAUAAGACCUUUUCUAUCCUGGGAGAAUAUAUUUCAUUAACCUCGGAUACUUGAGGGAAAUAAUUUCCUUAAGGGGUCACUGUGCAUUUAGUGAGUUCGAUUUUAUUUCUUUGAAAAAAUAUUCUUAUAUUGUUUCUAAUUCUUCUUUUGAUUCUAUUUUCUCUACUAGUUUUAACUUUUUAGUUAUGUAAGUUUUGGGUCGUGGGUUGUCCAUGUGGACCAACCUGACCUGACACAUUCUGUUUUAUGUCUUAUCCAAUUAAUUAAAUAAAUAAAUAAUUUGUAACUACUCAACCUCUCCUUAAAAGGCUCAUAAUGGGAAUAAUUUUCAUAAGGUACGUGAAAACGUGAAAUAGAGAGGAAAUUGUGUGAAAUAGAAAAUAAAAAACAAGCAAUCAGUCAAGGAACAAAGAAGUGAGUUUCUCAGAAAAAUUAAUCAACACAAAGCAGACUUCUAUUUUGUGAACUCAGAUCUUUGUUUUCUAAUGAUUCAAAGACGGACUUGAGCACCAAUCUGUCAAAGAAGCAGAUCAACGUCUUUAGCUGUGAAUUACAAGGAUAAGACAGACUGUUCAACCUCUUCUUAGAAGACUCUUACUGGGAGCAUUUUUCUAAGGUACGUGAAACGGGAAAUACAGAGGAAAUUGUGUGAAACAAAAAACUAAAAACAAGCGAUCAAUCAAGAAACAAAGAUCUUUGUUUCCUAGUGAUUCACAGACGGACUUACACCAGCCUGUCAAAGAAGCAGCUAGACGAUUUUCACUGUGAAUUACAAGGGACUUCUCCUCUCAUUUUGAGGAUCACGCUUUAACAAUCCAAUAAGAUUGAGUUUGCUGCUUCGAAUCAAAUAAGAAUCAAGUUUACUUUGCUGAAUAAUUAAUCUCUCUAACAGGUGCAGGCACAGGUGGACGUUAAAGCUUACAGUACGACGUUACAGCUAUCCGGACGUGGAACUUUCACUCGGAUUUGGUAGGCCCACAUGCUUUCGAGGAUGUCUACUGUUAUUUUCUAUCAUAGAUGUAGGCUUUAUCUAGUGGAGCAUGUUCGACUAAUUUUUUGUUUCCACUUUCAUUUAAGACUUUGUACUGGUGCCAUUUUUGAAAAAAACAUUUU